CGCCGUGACUGCGACCACAAGAUCCCACUCAUACCAGGAGCUCAACCAGUGAACAUCAGACCAUACCGGCACAAACCCGAGCACAAGAAGGAGAUCGAUGCCCAAGUCGAAGAGGUGCUCCACAAAGGUGUCAUCCAGAAAAGCAGCAGUCCAUUCUGCUCACCCGUGAUCCUCGUCAAGAAGAAAGACGGAACAUGGCGUCUUUGCAUCGACUACAGACACCUCAACGCCCUCACCUACAUCGCCAAGUAUCCAGUACCAAUUAUCGAGGAGUUGCUGGAUGAACUACACGGUGCGGCCUGGUUCUCCAAAUUGGAUCUCCGCUCCGGUUAUCAUCAAAUUCGCUUGGCGGAAGGCGAGGAGUACAAGACAGCCUUUCAAACGCAUUCAGAGCACUACGAGUUCCUCGUGGUUUCCUUCGGCCUGGCAGGCGGACCAGCCACAUUCAACGGUGCCCUGACAACUACUCUCAAGCCAGUCGACCGCAAGUGUGUCCUCCACUUCUUCGAUGACAUAUUGGUUUUCAGCAACACCCUUCGCGACCACAUCAACCAUCUCCGUCAGGUCCUGCAACUCCUGCGCCGUGACCAAUGGCAUGUCAAAAGAUCCAAAUGUGAGUUUGCCUAG
rnacentral:rRNA from 1 species